CGGGGCGUAGCGCAGUCCGGCUAGCGCGCACGGUUCGGGUCCGUGAGGCCGGCGGUUCGAAUCCGCCCGCCCCGA
rnacentral:tRNA from 1 species